UUGACCUCGGAUCAGGUAGGGAUACCCGCUGAACUUAAGCAUAUCAAAAACCGCGGGGGGAA
rnacentral:rRNA from 1 species